rnacentral:rRNA from 1 species
CAGCAGCCACGGUAAUGCGUAGGUGGCAAGCGUUGUCCGGAAUUAUUGGGCGUAAAGGGCUCGCAGGCGGUUUCUUAAGUCUGAUGUGAAAGCCCCCGGCUCAACCGGGGAGGGUCAUUGGAAACUGGGAAACUUGAGUGCAGAAGAGGAGAGUGGAAUUCCACGUGUAGCGGUGAAAUGCGUAGAGAUGUGGAGGAACACCAGUGGCGAAGGCGACUCUCUGGUCUGUAACUGACGCUGAGGAGCGAAAGCGUGGGGAGCGAACAGGAUUAGAUACCCCAGUAGUCCCUGUCUCUUAUAC